UCGCGUCAAGCGCCGUAGGCAGGAGCGGGGGACCCAAGGUAGGCGCCGGAACCAGCAGUUGAAGCUGGCUCCGGCUUGGGGUGAAGCCAUGUCCCGCAAGGGACGUGGCCGGGCAACUCAACCGGCCCGAACCCGACAGCUCACCUCGCAGGCGUCGGUGAGGGGAUCC
rnacentral:sRNA from 2 species